UUCGCACAGCUGCCAGUAAAUGUUUAUUUUAUUUUUUUUAAUUUAAAGCGAAAUUAAGUACCAAUUUUGAAACUUUAGCUUAUGUCUAAAAACAGUUUAAUCGAGACCUGCUCGCGAUUUAAGGAGGAAUUAUUCACAAGCCAAGCGGGGACACCACGAUGAAGGCCGAAGUUGACCAAGCCGACACCCGAUUAGAAAAUAAUGACGAUGACGACGCCAAGUUCACGCGGCGAACCCAACUGGCUUUUUUUAUUGGAGUGAGCCAGAAAGGGUUCGCGGAAAGUGCAUAAGGAAAAACGCAUGGAUAGAGGGUUCAUUUUUCCCCCUUAAUCGCAGUGGGUAUCCUAGGAUUUGUACGGCCUGUGGAAUUUCCAAAAGUAC